rnacentral:rRNA from 1 species
UACGUAGGGACCGAGCGUUGUCCGGAAUCAUUGGGCGUAAAGAGCGUGUAGGCGGCCACUUAAGUCCUGCGUGAAAUCUUGCGGCUCAACCGCAAGCGGUCGUGGGAAACUGGGUGGCUAGAGUGCGGGAGAGGAGAGUGGAAUUCCUGGUGUAGCGGUGAAAUGCGCAGAUAUCAGGAGGAACACCAAUGGCGAAGGCAGCACUCUGGGACGUGACUGACGCUGAGACGCGAAAGCGUGGGGAGCAAACAGG